rnacentral:tRNA from 1 species
GGUAAGUUGGUCUAAUUGGCUAGUACACUUAUUGCAAAAAUAAAAGGUGUGGGUUCAAUUCCCAUGUGUACUG